CGAAACCAGCUGGUUCCUCCAGCUCACAUCAAUCCUUUUCGCUAAAUCCGGUUUCAUCACUUGCGCAAUUGAUCACCAAGGCCAUGGAUUCUCCGAUGGACUCAUCGCUCAUAUCCCUGACAUCAAUCCCGUCGUCGAUGACUGUAUCUCUUUCUUCGAUGACUUUCGUAGCCGUCAAUCGCCGUCAGAUCUGCCGUGUUUUCUUUACUCUGAAUCUCUAGGCGGCGCGAUUGCUCUCUACAUCUCGCUCCGUC
rnacentral:lncRNA from 1 species